UGGAAAACAAGAUGCAAGAAACAAAUUUUGGAGUAAAUUAGAGAUGCCAGAGUAACUGCAGGAAACUUCAUGUCAUCAUAAACAAGUAUUCUUCUGCUGGAAAAAAAGAACAUUAAAGGCACAGAUUCUUGUGCAUCAAUGACAUUUUCGACUUGAUAUAUUGCAAAUGUCGUGAAGCAAAAACAGUACCAUCAUCUUCCAAGGAUAUGAAGUGCCACUCUCGCUGACAAAAUGGCAAGUGCAUUCUCUCUUGCCCCUUCAUUCCAGAAUCGGUCGUUAUUUAUACACAAUGAAGGUAGAGAGAAUUAUAAUACGCUCCUAGCUUGUGUAGUUAGCUAUGAGGGACUCGAUUGCUGAAUCCUUAGCACGUACGUCUUUAUAAUGGAUUCGAUAGCCAUGACCUGGAAAAGGAAAAAAAAAACUAGCAAUCAGUGUUCAGUGACUUAGUUAUGCCGUUUUAAAGGAAACAACAGAAACCAAAUGCUAAGGCAGGGACUUUCUCAUUUCCUAAGAAGCGCAUACCAGGUAAAAACCACUCGAAGUCUAACUUCAACAAUUUUCUCAUGCUGUCCAGCUGCAAGCCCACUGCAGGUUUGUGCAACAGAUGGAUUAAUCCUAGUCCUACUUUCAGCUAAUGGUACAAUUGCACAUUUACCUUCAGUUAGAAAAUCUAGGGAGGAUUCUACCUGAUUGCUUGCUGUACAUAAGAAAGAGAUCUAAAUCAUCAGAUUCUUCUGAUUUUGCAACAUGAUCUCCAGUGAAAAGCGCCUUUACUGGUUUGUAGAAUAAGCAGACUGAACCCUGAAAAAAAUGUUCCUUUUAAUGAAUGAACCCUAUAUAUGCUGAAGAAGGUUAGAUUGGUUGUCCAAAUCUCAGUUUAUGAGCUUUGGACAAUUUUUGACAGAACAUGUUCCUUCGUCUCUAAGGUUGAGGAAAAUUUGGGACAGGAUAUGGUGAUAAUCCAAUCUAAUCUUUAUGCGCAAAAAUAGUGCACAUAUGACAUAUCUUGACCCUAAUACUCUUUGUCUUUGAUGUUGUAUGUUUAAGGAUGUUCCAUCCAAUCCAGAGAAGCCUUCCAUACUGAAAGCUACAAGUAAUUGCUCAAACAACUUCUUUCAUUAAGUUGAACUUACUUCAGUAUGACCUGGGGUAUGGAUAAGUUCGAAAUCAGCUCCAAUGUCCCAUGGGCCAUUUCCAGUAAGUUUCCACUCAACAUCUGCAGUAACAUCCUCUACCUGCAUCAGCACAGUAAUUGCAGUAAAUAUCAGGAGAAGUAUCUGAGAGCAACAUUCACUGGAGAAAUAGGUAAAUCAGACUCUACACUAUGUUCAUGUCAUGCAAGCUCUGACACGAUAUAACUGUCCUCUCUGUACUGCUAAUCAGUACUUGUACUGCAGGUUAUAAAGUUUGACAGUGUUGAUUGAGUACUCGAUGAGGAUCAGUCAGGACUCAGGAAUAAGCGAUGUCUUUCUAGGGUCAGACAGAAGGAUGAUCAUGAUUCUUUGAAAUCGUUUGGAUGAGGGUCUUACAUCGCCCGAAUGGAUGAUCCUCUCACAUUUUAGCCGCUCAGCCCACUUCCUAUGAUCCGCGACAUCAUCCCUGUAAGUAACUCAAUAGACGCUCUUCAAUAUCCAAAAUAAAAGGGAGUGCGUUAAAAAAAGGCAAUUAAAAAAGAGAACUAUGUGAUACAGCUUUAAGUCCGGAAAUACAUGUGGGUCAAAAACAUGUAGCGUGCUCCACCAAGUUUUUCGAUGUUCUCUGCCAGUUUCGUUGUAUACCUUGGGCUGUAAAAUCAGAAAAUAUCAGAAGACCUAGUGAUAACCACAUAUAAACUGGACAAUAAGAUUUGGGAGAGAUGAUCUCCAAUUUGUGAGGAAAAAAAUGCUAUCACAUUGACCAGUACGCUGUGCUGAAAUUGAAUACUUAUCAGCAGGAACACUAGCAAUUAAUGUAUCUGAUUACAACUUGAUAAUUUUUUUUGUCUGGAGAUGGAAAGAUGGGUACUUAGGGACAUGAACAAAUUCAUAAGCUUAUUGGAAUUAACCUGUCAACUAGUAUGUUUCCAUCUGGAUGGGUUAAAAGAUAAGAAGUUGCUCCAUAUGAAUCUUGAGAAUGAUAGCCACAGAGGUAAACACCCUGGAAGUUUUGAGCAGUGCAACAAGGAUGAGUAUGAAUAUAAUUUAAUUGAGAUAAAUUGGGUGAAAUCCGGAAUGAGGAGAGCAAGUGAUACAGGGAGAAGAUGAUUGUCGAUGGGGAGCGGGAACAUGUUUUGCACUUGAAGAAUGUCCUUUGCAGGUUUCUCGGUGUGAAUGGAGGAAGUAGGACAGGAGAGCAGAGCCUGGACAUCAAUGGCAGGCAUGGUUCAAUUUUGCAUUGAAAUUCAGUAAAAGAGAGGCAGAGCUACCUGCAGGGCCUUGGUCCUGUGUUCGUCGGAGAUGGGCUGCGCGGCGACGGCGGCUUUUCCGUCCACCCUCUUGAACACCUCCUGCAAUUCAAAUCACCAUCACCAAGCAAAGCAGCUGAAGCAUCAAGCAUAUGCAUAUAUGAAAGACUAGUUACCGAAGCCAUCCAGCGGCAGGUCUGGCAAUCGAUGCAUCGGUGAUCUGCAGCAAACAAACUCAACUGAAGCGCAUCAGGAAGAGAAAUUAAAUGGAGACCGAUUUCAGGUGCAGGGCUCGAUCAGUGGCUCACCGACGAAGAAGUCGCCGGGGACGUUCUGCGGGCGGCGGCGUUGGAGUGCCGGAGAGGACGCCGAAGAGGCAACAGCUCGUGGUCGUCGCGGCGGCGGAGCAGCGACGGACGCUGGGGGGGCGAAGCGAAGGCUCAUCAUCAACGCCAUGGCGGAACAGCAGCGUCAGCGACAGCGUGCGUGCUACAACUAGCAGCGUUCGCUCUGCGCAGGGCAGCAGAUGCACAAAACGACCCUCACGACUGACGUCACAGCAAACGCCAACAUCCACCAAAGUCAGAGGAUCCGUUUCCCAACAUCCUGCACGUACGGCUCGAUUUUUUCCCUUUUUCUUUUCUUUCUUUUUUUUACUGAGUGCCCAUUUUAACACUCGAUCAAUAAUAAACUACUCUAGUUCUAGUAUGAAAUGAGUCUGUACCCAUUAUAGAUAUGUUUUUGAGAUAAGUAUUUGUUGAUAACUUUUUGUGACAAGUAGACAAGCACGAUCGCAACAACUAAACGCCUUGCAGUGAUAUGAAAUCGCCAACCACCUCGAUCUAGCCAAAAGGCUAAAUCAAGAUGGGUUUUAUAGAAAAACAGCUAAAUCGGCUAGCGGAGCCGAUUUAGAGAUCAAAAUCAGCCUCUAGGCCGAUUUAGAUCGAUAUGAGGAUAACUACCCGUCUCGUGGGCAAAACAGAAGGUUUUUAGGACAAACCUACAAAGAGGUGUCGCACUCUUGCAGCGGCGGCGGACGGUUUACGGCGCAAACCGACAAAGAUGGACUAAACUAGGGUAAAAUAGAAAACAUAGUAAAAGAACGAUUCAAGUAGAUUGUAUUCAGGGUAUUACAAUGAAUCGGCCUUGCCCCUUAAAUAGAGGUUGUUCUUGCCCUCUACAAGCCCUUCUCCACGUCCAACUCGGGAUAGAAACCAAAGUAAACACGAAAUAUAGCUUUCCCGAGCAAGAAAACUCGAGACCCGAAGAGAGCUCGGACUCUGCCGGUCAGACCGGCCACACACCGCAGGUCUGACCGGCCCAUUGUCGGCGGUCUGACCAGCCAACACACGCCGGUCAGACCGGCCCUCACAGAGGAAAACCGGCAGACUUCCAAACUUUGGCAAGUUUUCUUAUUUUAUCCCUAGAUGUCAAAUUUGGGUGUAAACAGUAUUACUAGACUGUUAACCGGACCAGCUAGUAUGAUGCUGGGUUUUUCUUUUCAGUUCUCUCAAGGUUCAGUUAUUGAUAAUUACGACCUGUUUGGUGCAAAUGUUUUCGGAAGAUAGGAUGCAAUAAAUAUGUUCUGGACUAAAUUAGAGAUGCUAGAUCAGUUACUAACUUCAUGUUGCCAAAAGAUUCAGCGAAGCAACCGACCUCCACACCAAUCAGUUGCCCGGAUACUGAUCUGGAUGUCAUUUUAGGAAACUUCGCAUCGCAGCGAGCAAUUUUCCCCUGUCAACUUGGGCCUGCCGCUUACUCUAGGGCAUCUCAAGCAUGUACACCUGCAUUUUACUGACUACAAUAGAAAAUUUGGCAGGAAAGAAACAAGCGUCUUCCAAAGUAACGAAUCAUUCAUACAACUAGUAUGCAACCAAGUCCUGGACGAGAUAAAAUUUUGAAGCAUGGGAGGUACCAAGAUUUAGAGAAGAUCAUAGACAUGGUGACAAACCUGUUUGCCAUCAUGGGUGUAAAUUUUUACAUUUCCUAUAUCGCCAAUUUGUACAUUGCUCCUUCUAAGAUAAAUAGAAUGCCAGCCGCCUACGCUGGUCUUUCAAAAAAAAGUACAUUUCCUCUUGGUCACUUAAUUCCAGAAUUGAUCGUUAUUUAUGUACACUGAAGUCUGAAGGUAGAGAGAAUUAUAAGAUGCCCCUAGCUUGUGUAGUUAUAGCUAUGAGGGACUCGAUUGCUGAAUCCUUAGCGUGUACAUCUUUAUAAUGGAUUCGAU
rnacentral:lncRNA from 1 species